CCUACGGGGGACAGCAGUGAGGAAUAUUGGUCAAUGGGCGGGAGCCUGAACCAGCCAAGUCGCGUGAGGGAAGACGGUCCUAUGGAUUGUAAACCGCUGUAGGCGGGGAGCAAGGCCGGGCACGUGUGCCCGGAGGGAGAGGACCCGCAGAAUAAGCAGCGGCCAACCCCGUGCCAGCAGCAGCGGUAAUACGGAGGAUGCGAGCGGUACCCGGAUUGAUUGGGUUUAAAGGGUGCGUAGGCGGAUUUUUAAGUCAGCGGUAAAAUGUCCGGGCUCAACCCGGGCCGGCCGUUGAAACUGGGGUUCUUGAGUGGGCUAGAGGUAUGCGGAAUGCGUGGUGUAGCGGUGAAAUGCAUAGAUAUCACGCAGAACUCCGAUUGCGAAGGCAGCAUACCGGCGCCCGACUGACGCUGAGGCACGAAAGCGUGGGGAUCGAACAGGAUUAGAUACCCGGGUAGUC
rnacentral:rRNA from 1 species